rnacentral:tRNA from 1 species
GGGCCGUUAACUCAGUUGGUAGAGUACCUGCCUUUUAAGCAGAGAGUCGCAGGUUCGAAUCCUGCACGGCCCACCA